ACUUCAGCAUAAAUCUGCUUCUCUGCUAUAAGAAAUUAUUCCUGAUAUGCUUUGGGCUAUGGAAACCAAUUACAUGAAUUUUGCACAAUAACCUAUUUCUCCCAAACAGGGGUAGCACUCCUGGCCAUAAACAGACAUCUUUUUACUUCCAAUUAACUGUGUGGGUGUAUAAACAUGAGGAAAACUGCCUUUUCAACUUGAAUUUAAUAACCAGAAAACAAUGGCAGAAAGGAAUCGUCAUUUACAGUCAGAAUAUCAGACUCUGGCCAUCCUUAUUGCCUUCCUCUGCAAGCCAGCUGGAUUUGUGAAAACAGACAAACCCUUUCCCAUUAAAUCAUAAAUACUGCAGGUUUUAUUCCUUACUGACUCCUAGGCUCCAAGAUUUAAGAAAGGGUAGGAUAUUAAUUUCCAGAUCUAAACUUGACAUAAGUCACAGUGCUGUAGUUGUCAUUUAAACUUCAGGUGUGUUUUUCUUCUCUUCCAUAUACUCCAGAGCUUCCCUGUAAUCCCUGAAUCCUACUGAAUUCACACCCUGGUGAUGUAUCAAUGUCAAAGGGAUGCAACUGGUAAUUCUGCCUGGCUGUUAAACUGCCUCGUGUCACCCUAUUUCCAAUGGCUGCUGCUAAGGGCCGCUGUGAGGCCUGUAAGCCACUGCAGUGCAGCCCAGGCCCUGAGCCUGAGUGCAGAUUUAGGGAUGCACGAGCUGUGCCUGGCAGAGGUGGGAAACCUGAGAUGUCCUUGAUUGAGAUCCUCAAGUGGAGCUAAGGAACCAAAUUCCUUUUAUUAUUGAUGCCUCAUUUCCUCAUUAAUGCCACAAAGAUUUAUGUGAAGGGACUUUCAGAGUGCUAAUGGAAUUACCCACCUAAAUCUCCCCCGUGCCGAUGGCGGGAAACGCUCUGGUUCUUUGCCCUCACGUUAGUGCUGGGUGAGUAAUUGAAUUAUUUGUUAGCUAGCAAAACUAAAAGUCCUUGAUUUUUGUCGGUAGUGUUGAGGGCUUUUCAAUACCUGUUUUUUUUUUAAUGCCUUUGCUUGGGCUUGAGUUAUAAUUUGAAAUACAAAAUGAAAACAUUUUGAUAAUUUUUCCCAUUCCAGUGCCAGUGAGGGUCAGUGGUUUCAGUCAGUAAACUCUUUAUUAUUAUUAUUAUUCUUAACAAAAUGCCAUCCUGUAGCAUUCCACUUACCUCUAAUUAGUGUGCCUGCUUCUGUCAGAACUUUAAUAUUGCUUCAGAUCUGGUGCUGAUUCUGCUAAAAAGUACUUUCCUAUAACCUCACUGCUGCCAGUUAAUUUCCUAAAAUCCCCUUGGGUUUAGUGUCUGUGCCAGGGCACAGAACUGCACUGCCUGAGCUUGGGGAGGGUGAGAAGAGCGGCACAAACACUUGUGCAGAGCAGGAACAACUUCUGGUCUGGUGAAAAUGACUGAAAGAGUAGGAAUAAUUCUGGAAAUCACUCUGAAAUCAAGAUGGGAGGAUACAGCUGGGGCUGGGCAGCCUCUUGUGUGAAACCACUUCUAUGAACCUUGUUCAAGUGUGUGCACAGACACCUGGGAAUGAUUUAUUCCUUGUCAUGGGCCUGGUCCUGUGGAGCUGGGGGUGUUGUCAGGGAAGGUGACUGGGUCAGCUGCUCCAUGCACUAGGAGGACAGCUUGUGCCUAUAAAGAGAAACACCAGUUCAGGACACUGGAAGUAUGAGAGUCUGAAGAUUAAUGAUAGAAAAAUAUCGUGUUUGAGGAAAGUAAGCAGGA
rnacentral:lncRNA from 1 species